CUUACCAGCUGCCAGAGAGAAAAGCAAUACUCCCAGGGACCACCAGUCAGCAGUGUGGUUGUAAGGCCCACCACUCAAGACCUCUGGGGCUAUGGCAUGAAAGGAACCCAAAUCAACUAUCUGCUUCCUACUGCCUUCUCAGACCUGUUGAAACGUCUUGGAUUCUUGUUCAACCUAAGAAAGAAGACUUAACUCUACCUUUACAUCACGAUGGAUGAUGCCCAAGUCAUGGAGAUAGCCUGUGGAGAACAGUGAGCAUGGCUGUGUCUGCCAGUUUCUUUGUAGCCCCUAUCCCAUCUCUACCCUGGCUUCCAAAAUUAAAUAUUCUAUUUUCUUCCCCACUAA